CAUUUUUCACUCCUACGGGAGGCAGCAGUGGGGAAUAUUGCACAAUGGGCGCAAGCCUGAUGCAGCCAUGCCGCGUGUAUGAAGAAGGCCUUCGGGUUGUAAAGUACUUUCAGCAGUGAGGAAGGCAGGUACGUUAAUAGCGUACUUGUUUGACGUUAGCUGCAGAAGAAGCACCGGCUAACUCCGUGCCAGCAGCCGCGGUAAUACGGAGGGUGCGAGCGUUAAUCGGAAUUACUGGGCGUAAAGCGCAUGCAGGUGGUUUGUUAAGUCAGAUGUGAAAGCCCGGGGCUCAACCUCGGAAUUGCAUUUGAAACUGGCAGACUAGAGUACUGUAGAGGGGGUAGAAUUUCAGGUGUAGCGGUGAAAAUGCGUAGAGAUCUGAAGGAAUACCGGUGGCGAAGGCGGCCCCCUGGACAGAUACUGACACUCAGAUGCGAAAGCGUGGGGAGCAAACAGGAUUAGAUACCCUGGUAG
rnacentral:rRNA from 1 species